GCAGCCUGAUGCAGCCAUGCCGCGUGUGUGAAGAAGGCCUUCGGGUUGUAAAGCACUUUCAGUCGUGAGGAAGGUNGUGUAGUUAAUAGCUGCAUUAUUUGACGUUAGCGACAGAAGAAGCACCGGCUAACUCCGUGCCAGCAGCCGCGGUAAUACGGAGGGUGCGAGCGUUAAUCGGAAUUACUGGGCGUAAAGCGCAUGCAGGUGGUUAGUUAAGUCAGAUGUGAAAGCCCGGGGCUCAACCUCGGAACUGCAUUUGAAACUGGCUGACUAGAGUACUGUAGAGGGGGGUAGAAUUUCAGGUGUAGCGGUGAAAUGCGUAGAGAUCUGAAGGAAUACCGGUGGCGAAGGCGGCCCCCUGGACAGAUACUGACACUCAGAUGCGAAAGCGUGGGGAGCAAACAGGAUUAGAUACCCUGGUAGUCCACGCCGUAAACGAUGUCUACUUGGAGGUUGUGGCCUUGAGCCGUGGCUUUCGGAGCUAACGCGUUAAGUAGACCGCCUGGGGAGUACGGUCGCAAGAUUAAAACUCAAAUGAAUUGACGGGGGCCCGCACAAGCGGUGGAGCAUGUGGUUUAAUUCGAUGCAACGCGAAGAACCUUACCUACUCUUGACAUCCAGAGAACUUAGCA
rnacentral:rRNA from 1 species